CGGACGGGUGAGUAAUGUCUGGGAAACUGCCUGAUGGAGGGGGAUAACUACUGGAAGCGGUAGCUAAUACCGCAUAACGUCGCAAGACCAAAGAGGGGGACCUUCGGGCCUCUUGCCAUCGGAUGUGCCCAGAUGGGAUUAGCUAGUAGGUGGGGUAACGGCUCACCUAGGCGACGAUCCCUAGCUGGUCUGAGAGGAUGACCAGCCACACUGGAACUGAGACACGGUCCAGACUCCUACGGGAGGCAGCAUG
rnacentral:rRNA from 1 species